UCGUCAACGGGAUUGGGGCUUUCAGGUUGCAAGCUUUUUCGAGAGGGACUGGGCGAGAGAGGUAAGAGCUCUAAGCGCUCGUCUUCUGUCUUUUUUUUUUUUUAUUUGAAGGUUCGAAGAUUUUUUUGGGUUCAACUAAGUUGUUGUUUUGUCAAUGUAAACCUUGGGUUAGUAUUCUAUAUAUAUAUAUUUUUAAUAAAAAUUGUGAUUUUAUGUUGUGGGAUUGGAGUCGCUGGGCUUGUUUCAGGAUUGAUGCUGCGAGAGAAUUUGGGGAUGUCGUUUUAUUCGUGGAAAGGUCGUUCUUUUCUUCUUCGUUUUUCAUGGUUUAAGGUUUCCUUUCAUUGAUUUGGGGUGAUUGUUGAUGUGGUGCGGAAAAUUGGGAGCUUUUUGUGGUGUCUUGCGGUGGAUUUGAUUGCAAUCUUCGUUUUUUGGCCCUUGUUUUUCUGAUGAUUCUGGAGUGGCUAUUGUUUUUAUCUAUUGUUGUUUCUGAAGGUUGCUCUGCGUUGUUUGAAUUAGACAGUUUUGGAAUAAAUUUUUUGUCAGAAUUGCUAUAUUGUGAAUUGGGGCUUGCUUGCAUACAUUAUAAAAUUUUGACGCUCUUGUGAUUCUGUGUGUUUUUAGGAGCCAAGGUUUUAUACUUUCGAGUGUGUUUAGAAAAUUAAAAACUAGAAAGCAAAUUACCGUACUUGAUUAAGGGAUUUCCUUUAGUUGAACUCUUGAAGCCGCUGAGCCUCCUAAUCUAUUUACCUAACUUUAGCGACUAAUUAUUAUUCUAUAUUAUUCUGUAAAUGAAGUUAUAGUAAAUCGAUUGUUGUAGUAAUUAUGCUUGGUGGUGGUUGGUGUAAUCCUACGAAACUUGGCACAGAACCAUGAUGACUUAUGGAACUAUACUGAUUUGUUCCUAAGAUUAAUUUAC
rnacentral:lncRNA from 1 species